AAAAUCAUUGACCAUCCCAAUUCCUCCAUAUAAUCAGAAUAAAUAAGGAGAGUAACUAAUAAUAAUGGAAAUGUUCCACGUGCUUAAGUUUAGGAGAUCUUAUCUCAUUUCUUUGUCACAAGAAGUCUGUUGAUCCAUUGGGGUGUCUAGGGUGUUCAGGGAAGACCAGUACCUCUGGGGGACGACUCAUUCACCUUUGGUGUCUACCUGCCUCCUAGUCCUCACCUGUGGCUCCAAGAAGCUGUAACAUGAACAGCGGCCAUGUCUCAGGAAACCAUCUUGGCAGGAACAGAAGCUGAGCCUGAGAAUCUGGACUCUAAGGAACCAGAAAAAAAGAAGAGGCAAGACAGGAGGAAAUAAAGAACUGUGCCAUGGAUCUACUUGGAAUGUUGGCUUUCUUAGAAAAGGAACUCUAUUAAAGGACACCCCAGAUACGAACCACACCUAAGCUUUGUUUUAGGAGACCCUCUUGAGUUCUAAUGCAAAGUCUGAUUCUUCUCACUGACAUCAGGUUACUCCAGGACUGAAUCCAGCUUACCUGAGUCUAGACUUGUGAGAGAGAGCAUCUUCUUGGACCAUAAUUAACAUCCAUACAGCUAUGUGGGUGCAUAUCACCUCCCUCAAUUAGAGCAUAAGCUUCUUAAUGGCAAGACUGGUCUUUGCAUCUCCAGCACUUAACUCAAUGCAUGGUACAGUUGUCCCUUAAUAAAAUACUCAUUGAUCAAUUGCUAUGUGUCCGUUUGAAUUUAUUAACAGGUAAUACUUAGGUCAUUAUAAAUAUGA